ACAGAUACAGCAUCUAGUAUAUGUUGCCCUCCUCUACAGAUGAAGACCCAUAAGUAUAGGACUGGCAACAUAUACAGCAUCUAGUAUAUGUUGCCCUCCUCGACAGAUGAAGACCCAUAAUUAUAGGACUGGCAACAUAUACAGCAUCUAGUAUAUGUUGCCCUCCUGGACAGAUGAAGACCCAUAAGUAUAGGACUGGCAACAUGUA